AGAAAUUUAGGUUAACAAUAGACCAAAAGCCUUCAAAGCUUUAAGUAGAAGUGAAAAUCCUCUAAUUUCUG
rnacentral:tRNA from 16 species